AAGACACAGGAUCCAAAAGUAAGCACAGCAACUCAAACUAUUUAAAAGGCAAGGAACUAAACCUUCACUAUUGAAAAGCCAAGGACCUGCCUAAGGGUAGAUCCAGCAAUUCACACGAUUUAAAAAGCAAGGACCUAAACUCUCCCACUAUUUAAAAGCCAAGAACCUUGAUCUCGGGUUAGAUACAGCAAUUAACACUAUUUAAAAGACAGACCUGAAGCCUUACAAACACCAUUUAAAAGACACCGACCACAAUCCCAGGAUACACCCACAGUCUCCAGAACAUACAAAUUUUGAUAAGCAUGGCCCCAAAGAAGAAAUGUGAGAAGAUACCUCCCCCCGAUCCUGUGCAGAGAUCAUCUACAUUUCCCAAAAUAUCUCUGCCCUGUCCCUUCCAGAAAGAAUCUGUUACAACAAAGAAGAAAAGGAAGUCAAAAAGAGUUUAGCAAGACUAAAUACUACCAGCAUACUAGAAAAUGGUCUGAUAAUACAGCAUUUCACAAUUAGUCUUCUUCCUCUGGGGGGGAAAAAUACCUGGAUACGGUGCCUUGUCCUAUCACUUUUUUGGGGCCAAGUUUGGUCAUUAAA